rfam:Otolemur garnettii contig069166, whole genome shotgun sequence.
GUCUACGGCCAUACCACCCUGAACGCACCCAAUCUCGUCUAAUCUCGGAAGCUAUGCAGGGUUGGGCCUGGUUAGUGCUUGGAUGGGAAAAAGGUCUCAUUUAAGUUGUUGAAUAGUAGAAC